UCUUCCUUUUGGAAAGAAUGAUUUUCCUGCUCACUGCUUAUGUGAAAAGUGUUAUUUGUCUUUCUAACUCUUGAGGACAUCUUCAAGGUUCCUUUCUUAGCCGCAACCUUACUAGCUCAUGUGAAGAUGUCACAUCCCCAGGUUAUUUGUGAUAGAUAUGCACUUAGCUGGCCUUCUUAUCUGCACAAAAAGAAACAGCUGCUCAGGAUUGAAAAAUAAUUCUCUUUUCCCUACAGGACUGAAAAAAACUUCUUUAUUUUAGAACGUCUUAAAAACAUGUAAAGGAGAAGGGGAAAAUGACCCAGAGUACCGUUACCUAAAGGCAAUUAUUAUAUGAGUAUAACAAUUAUAUGCACUUCAGCGAGCUGUUAGAAAAAUCCAAUGAACAUGACAGCCUUGAGCACACAGAUGCUUGCUUGCUGUGGAGUUGGGAGAGAGCUGGCUUCUCUUGGGCAUGCUUCAUAUCCUGCUUUGAUGGCCCUUCCUCUCAAAAGCUUGCCUCGUUGUGACUUUCUCCAUGAGCUUAGCAGCAUCUCUGGAGGGCUCCUCAGCACUGUCUCCUGUUGCAUCAAGAGAAUAGAAGUAGAGAGUGGGGCAAAGUACUUCACCCUAGUGUGAUUCAGAAUCUUCUUGGGCUCAAGAGAAUGCCACUGCCUCUACCUCCAAUCCUCAACAUCUUGCCGGAGAUUUUGAUUCAUCUUUCUACAGCUUACAAUAGAUGGUGGUCAUGGAUUUGAGAAGAAUACCAAAAAGUGAGGUACUCUUCUUGCCAUAUGUCAGGGGACACCUGCUUUCCACAUGAGAAGCUGAUGUUUGCCACUUCUUCAAUAAAUCAGCACGAGCUUCAGAAGGAACACGGCAUUUGGUCACACUCAUGAAGGAUGAUGAGGUGUUCAAGGCACAGGAGGUGAAGGAGGCAGAAAAUACAUUGUCUAAAAAGCCAUGAAGACAUGAAACUGCAUGAUGUAUGUGAAGAACUGAAAGGAGUCUUGUAUGGCUAGAGGAGGGGCCACAAACUCACAUGCCUACCAGGCAGGCAAAUCAUGUAAAUGAUCAAGCUAUAAAAUGUCAUGAGAAGCAUGGAACCUGAAUAAGCCAAUGGGCCUAAUAAUGCUGUCUCCAGGAACCCUGAAACACCGUGUAAGAAGUCUGAUUACUCUAAGACCACCAUGAUGGAGAGAAGGGUCACUUGCAGCUGCUUCAGUUGCUGGUCACAUUGAACCCAUACCUCGAGCCACCCCUGCCAAGAUGCCAAACAUGACAUGAAAAUAGCAGCUCCUUCCUGACUUACUCUUUCUUGGAUCAAUUACUCUGAUGGAAGCCAGCUGCUAUGUCACGAGUACACUCAGCUGGCCUAAUGGGAGACCCACACGGAGAGGAACUGAGGUCUCCAAUCAAUAACCAACACCAAUACACCGCAGGUGAGUGAGUACUUUUGGAAUUGGAUCCUCCAGCACUCAUCAAGCCUUCAAAUGACUGCAAGUUUAUGAGAAAACCGCAUUUAAACCUAAUACCCAAUGUUAUAGGAUUAAGAGGUAGAACCUUUUGGAAAGUGAUUAGGUUGUGAGUGCUUUGCCCUCAUG